rnacentral:rRNA from 1 species
GUGAACGCUGGCGGUAGGCCUAACACCUGCCAGUCGCACGGCAGCACAGUAAGAGCUUGCUCUUACGGGUGGCGAGUGGCGGACGGGUGAGGAAUACAUCGGAAUCUACUUUUUCGUGGGGGAUAACGUAGGGAAACUUACGCUAAUACCGCAUACGACCUACGGGUGAAAGCAGGGGAUCUUCGGACCUUGCGCGAUUGAAUGAGCCGAUGUCGGAUUAGCUAGUUGGCGGGGUAAAGGCCCACCAAGGCGACGAUCCGUAGCUGGUCUGAGAGGAUGAUCAGCCACACUGGAACUGAGACACGGUCCAGACUCCUACGGGAGGCAGCAGUGGGGAAUAUUGGACAAUGGGCGCAAGCCUGAUCCAGCCAUACCGCGUGGGUGAAGAAGGCCUUCGGGUUGUAAAGCCCUUUUGUUGGGAAAGAAAAGCAGCAGGUUAAUACCCCGCUGUUCCGACGGUACCCAAAGAAUAAGCACCGGCUAACUUCGUG